GAACGCUGGCGGCGUGCUUAACACAUGCAAGUCGAACGGUGAAGCCAAGCUUGCUUGGUGGAUCAGUGGCGAACGGGUGAGUAACACGUGAGCAACCUGCCCUGGACUCUGGGAUAAGCGCUGGAAACGGCGUCUAAUACUGGAUAUGAGCUCUCAUCGCAUGGUGGGGGUUGGAAAGAUUUUUCGGUCUGGGAUGGGCUCGCGGCCUAUCAGCUUGUUGGUGAGGUAAUGGCUCACCAAGGCGUCGACGGGUAGCCGGCCUGAGAGGGUGACCGGCCACACUGGGACUGAGACACGGCCCAGACUCCUACGGGAGGCAGCAGUGGGGAAUAUUGCACAAUGGGCGGAAGCCUGAUGCAGCAACGCCGCGUGAGGGAUGACGGCCUUCGGGUUGUAAACCUCUUUUAGCAGGGAAGAAGCGAGAGUGACGGUACCUGCAGAAAAAGCGCCGGCUAACUACGUGCCAGCAGCCGCGGUAAUACGUAGGGCGCAAGCGUUAUCCGGAAUUAUUGGGCGUAAAGAGCUCGUAGGCGGUUUGUCGCGUCUGCUGUGAAAUCCCGAGGUUCAACCUCGGGCCUGCAGUGGGUACGGGCAGACUAGAGUGCGGUAGGGGAGAUUGGAAUUCCUGGUGUAGCGGUGGAAUGCGCAGAUAUCAGGAGGAACACCGAUGGCGAAGGCAGAUCUCUGGGCCGUAACUGACGCUGAGGAGCGAAAGGGUGGGGAGCAAACAGGCUUAGAUACCCUGGUAGUCCACCCCGUAAACGUUGGGAACUAGUUGUGGGGACCAUUCCACGGUUUCCGUGACGCAGCUAACGCAUUAAGUUCCCCGCCUGGGGAGUACGGCCGCAAGGCUAAAACUCAAAGGAAUUGACGGGGACCCGCACAAGCGGCGGAGCAUGCGGAUUAAUUCGAUGCAACGCGAAGAACCUUACCAAGGCUUGACAUACACCAGAACACCGUAGAAAUACGGGACUCUUUGGACACUGGUGAACAGGUGGUGCAUGGUUGUCGUCAGCUCGUGUCGUGAGAUGUUGGGUUAAGUCCCGCAACGAGCGCAACCCUCGUUCUAUGUUGCCAGCACGUAAUGGUGGGAACUCAUGGGAUACUGCCGGGGUCAACUCGGAGGAAGGUGGGGAUGACGUCAAAUCAUCAUGCCCCUUAUGUCUUGGGCUUCACGCAUGCUACAAUGGCCGGUACAAAGGGCUGCAAUACCGUGAGGUGGAGCGAAUCCCAAAAAGCCGGUCCCAGUUCGGAUUGAGGUCUGCAACUCGACCUCAUGAAGUCGGAGUCGCUAGUAAUCGCAGAUCAGCAACGCUGCGGUGAAUACGUUCCCGGGUCUUGUACACACCGCCCGUCAAGUCAUGAAAGUCGGUAACACCUGAAGCCGGUGGCCCAACCCUUGUGGAGGGAGCCGUCGAAGGUGGGAUCGGUAAUUAGGACUAAGUCGUAACAAG
rnacentral:rRNA from 1 species